UACGGGGGGGGCAAGCGUUGUUCGGAAUUACUGGGCGUAAAGGGCUCGUAGGCGGCCAACUAAGUCCGACGUGAAAUCCCAAGGCUUAACCUUGGAACUGCGUCGGAUACUGGAUGGCUUGAAUUCGGGAGAGGGAUGCAGAAUUCCAGGUGUAGCGGUGAAAUGCGUAGAUAUCUGGAGGAAUACCGGUGGCGAAGGCGGCAUCCUGGACCGACAUUGACGCUGAGGCACGAAGGCCAGGGGAGCAAACGGG
rnacentral:rRNA from 1 species